AGAGUUUGAUCCUGGCUCAGGAUGAACGCUGGCGGCGUGCUUAACACAUGCAAGUCGAACGAACCUUCGGGUUAGUGGCGGACGGGUGAGUAACGCGUGGGAAUCUGCCCUCAGGAGGGGGAUAACGGCUGGAAACGGCCGCUAAUACCCCAUAUGCCGAGAGGUGAAAGGAAAUUCGCCUGAGGAUGAGCCCGCGUCUGAUUAGCUAGUUGGUGGGGUAAGAGCUUACCAAGGCGACGAUCAGUAGCUGGUCUGAGAGGAUGAUCAGCCACACUGGGACUGAGACACGGCCCAGACUCCUACGGGAGGCAGCAGUGGGGAAUUUUCCGCAAUGGGCGAAAGCCUGACGGAGCAACGCCGCGUGAGGGAUGAAGGCCUCUGGGCUGUAAACCUCUUUUCUCAAGGAAGAAGACAUGACGGUACUUGAGGAAUAAGCCACGGCUAAUUCCGUGCCAGCAGCCGCGGUAAUACGGGAGUGGCAAGCGUUAUCCGGAAUUAUUGGGCGUAAAGCGUCCGCAGGCGGCCCUGUAAGUCUGUCGUUAAAGCGUGGAGCUUAACUCCAUUUAAGCGAUGGAAACUACAGGGCUUGAGUGUGGUAGGGGCAGAGGGAAUUCCCGGUGUAGCGGUGAAAUGCGUAGAUAUCGGGAAGAACACCAGUGGCGAAGGCGCUCUGCUGGGCCUUAACUGACGCUCAUGGACGAAAGCCAGGGGAGCGAAAGGGAUUAGAUACCCCUGUAGUCCUGGCCGUAAACGAUGAACACUAGGUGUCGGGGGAAUCGACCCCCUCGGUGUCGUAGCCAACGCGUUAAGUGUUCCGCCUGGGGAGUACGCACGCAAGUGUGAAACUCAAACGAAUUGACGGAGGCCCGCACAAGCGGUGGAGUAUGUGGUUUAAUUCGAUGCAACGCGAAGAACCUUACCAGGGUUUGACAUCCUGCGAAUCCCUUGGAAACGAGGGAGUGCCUUCGGGAGCGCAGAGACAGGUGGUGCAUGGCUGUCGUCAGCUCGUGUCGUGAGAUGUUGGGUUAAGUCCCGCAACGAGCGCAACCCACGUCUUUAGUUGCCAGCAUUCAGUUGGGCACUCUAGAGAGACCGCCGGUGAUAAACCGGAGGAAGGUGUGGAUGACGUCAAGUCAUCAUGCCCCUUACAUCCUGGGCUACACACGUACUACAAUGCUACGGACAAAGGGCAGCAAGCUCGCGAGAGUUAGCAAAUCCCAUAAACCGUGGCUCAGUUCAGAUCGUAGGCUGCAACUCGCCUACGUGAAGGAGGAAUCGCUAGUAAUCGCAGGUCAGCAUACUGCGGUGAAUACGUUCCCGGGCCUUGUACACACCGCCCGUCACACCAUGGAAGUUGGCCAUGCCCGAAGUCGUUACUCCAACCCC
rnacentral:rRNA from 1 species